rnacentral:lncRNA from 1 species
CCCUACUUCUGCUGCCUCAACAGCAACUGCGAGGACCUGCCAACAACUGCCAGGGAAUGAAGGCCAGUGAACCCUGUCAGGACUGAAUGACGACUACAGAAAGAGCAGAAAAGAGAGAGAGCUUCCUUCCCUGGAACUCUGCUGGGGGAAGUGGGCUUGGAAGAUGGUGGCUGCCUGUUUAAGGGUCCAAGGCUUCUCCUUUCUCCUCCUGUUGGUGCCAGAAGAAACAGACACAUAGAUGGAGGACAAGUUAUUUGAGGCCAAUUUGAAUGAGUUUCCAAAAAUUCCAACUCCUGCCAGGGCUGUGCUCUGUUGCCUGCUCCUCCCACUCUCAUCAAUUCCUGACCCUGCUGGAGCCCAUAAACAGGGGAGGGGCUUACAGCUCUGGCUUUGGGGUUCUGUUAAAUGUCACUGACAAAAGAUUACCAGGAUUUCUUUGAUCUGCAGUCCAAAAAAAAGAAAAAAAGACGUUAGAUUUACUGGCCUUCCUACAAUAGGAGCAAAUGUCCCCAGAGGAACACGGGGACUUCAGGAAGAAGGAGUUGGGAGAGGUUUCUUACAGGAUUGGACUCACAUGGGGUGACUCUAGGAGGGGAAGAGGAAAGUGGGGGGCAGUCCUAGAUUGGAUGCUGUCAAGGAGUACGGGCAAUUUGUAAUCGUAUGUGAAUUUUAUCAAGACUAUAGGAGCACUCCAGAUGGCCGUCAUUGGUGAUGGACAGCAGUCAUUCAGGUCCAUCAGAAGAGGACAUUUAGUCACUUUCGUGCUUGGAGAAUGGCCUGGUCUGUCUUGCCCCAAACAUAUUGUUGGGAGGUGGGAG